AGUAAUGUCUGGGAAACUGCCUGAUGGAGGGGGAUAACUACUGGAAACGGUAGCUAAUACCGCAUAACGUCGCAAGACCAAAGAGGGGGACCUUCGGGCCUCUUGCCAUCGGAUGUGCCCAGAUGGGAUUAGCUAGUAGGUGGGGUAACGGCUCACCUAGGCGACGAUCCCUAGCUGGUCUGAGAGGAUGACCAGCCACACUGGAACUGAGACACGGUCCAGACUCCUACGGGAGGCAGCAGUGGGGAAUAUUGCACAAUGGGCGCAAGCCUGAUGCAGCCAUGCCGCGUGUAUGAAGAAGGCCUUCGGGUUGUAAAGUACUUUCAGCGGGGAGGAAGGGAGUAAAGUUAAUACCUUUGCUCAUUGACGUUACCCGCAGAAGAAGCACCGGCUAACUCCGUGCCAGCAGCCGCGGUAAUA
rnacentral:rRNA from 1 species